rnacentral:rRNA from 1 species
UACGUAGGGUGCAAGCGUUGUCCGGAAUUAUUGGGCGUAAAGAGCGUGUAGGCGGCCCGAUUAGUCCGCUGUGAAAGUCCAGGGCUCAACCCUGGGAUGCCGGUGGAUACUGUCGGGCUCGAGUCCGGAAGAGGAGUGUGGAAUUCCUGGUGUAGCGGUGAAAUGCGCAGAUAUCAGGAGGAACACCAAUGGCGAAGGCAGCACUCUGGGACGUGACUGACGCUGAGACGCGAAAGCGUGGGGAGCAAACAGG